rnacentral:misc_RNA from 1 species
AGACAGUCCGGUCUGGCGCUCGCGCUUCAGCCGUUCGGCCUUCAGGAUGGUCAGGACCUGGGAAUACGCCUCGUCCAGUUCGGAGUUGGUGACCACAUAGUCGUAUUCCGCCCAGUGGCUCAGUUCGUGACUGGCGCGGCUCAUGCGCCCCGCAAUCACCUCAUCGGAAUCCUGGGCGCGGGUAUGUAGCCGCUUUUCCAGAUCGGCGGCGGACGGCGGCAG